ensembl:lncRNA
GGCACCUUCCUUUUUGGCAUAGACAUUCUAACAGCAGCAGACUACUUCACAGUUGGUAACCUGAAUAACUGCUACUUAAUUAUCAGUGUCUACAUUGCUGGUUUUGAGGAAUAUACACCAAACCCUUAAUAGACCACUUGGUGGCUAUGAAAGUCAGUCACUGGGAUGGGGUGAUCAGAGAGCUGGCCACAAAAGCUCUGCACAAUCUAACUAUCUGGGCUCCUGAAUGCAUGGCCAACACUGUCUGUGGCCUUAUUGAAAAUCUCUCUCCCUCUCCAAGAUGCCUUUUGAAGAUGACCCAGUUACCAGGGAGUCAACCAAACCUCUUUAUAUUUGCAUUUUUAAAAAUCUUUUAUCAUUUUAACUGCUGUAUUUUUCUGUUUGCUUGGUUUUUAUCUUGUUAUUUUAACUCUAGUGACUCUUAUUUUAUCACAUCUCUGUAUUUGCCAUAAAGAUAAGCUUAGAUGCUAACAUGGCGAUCAGAAUACAUAACUACUACUACUACUGCUUCCACAAAUGUCUCACGGAGGAGUGAUUGUUUCAUGGAUUUGAGUUCAUCUACAUUCUGGUUUCUUGCAGCUGGUUGGCACUGGCUAAAAGAGACAGCUUGAAGACGAAUGCACUUUAAACAAUGGGAGCGAUUAAUGUUUGUGAUUUUGAUAUGAAAUUCUGAAUAAGUACUUGGGUGUGUUUUUGGGUGUACACAUACUUUUGGCAAUUUAUUGUUUGUUUACAUCCAUUUGUUGCCAUACAGAUCAGCUGGUUAGUCAAUACCUGUCGGCCCUGGAGAGUCCCGAGGUUCUGACACGCUGUGGCUGCGUUUAUGAUCUACAGAAGGUCAGACCUCAUAAUGUUGCGCCUGCUCAAGUCUGUAUCUGAACUUGUUCCCUAGAUGUUGCCUGGGCUCCAGGCCGCCUGUAAGGUAGUGCAGAAAGGGGAAAGUCUAACAGAAGCCAGGAGGGAUGUGGUCACAGCCAUGUCUCAGUGAGAAACACCUUUUUAUGUCUCCUUUGCACUUGAAGAACCAGUCUGCCUGAGCUUAAGCUCGGUCAACGCCUGCUACUUCCUGCAGGACCUGAAAUUCACGUCUCAGUUCACUGCUUUGUCCCAUCUUGCAUUGCAUGUCCAUGUGUCCUGUGCUUUCUUGUGCUUCUCAGGGUGUGUGUAGAUGUAGGAGUGUGUGCGUGAGGCAGCUCCAACCGUGUCCUGUGUGAGGACAACAUAAGGCCUGUGUAUGAAGCCUUGCUGGGCUGUAUGAACGACUACUGCAUGGACAGCUGAGGGGUCGUAGGGGCCUGGUACGUUCACAUGCCUUUAUAGAGGUGCAUACUUGUGUUGCACAAUUUGAAGUUAGGCAAUAAAUAAAAAUAAAAAAAGUAUUUAAUUUAUCUA